UGGAUAAGCUAUAAAGAGCACACGGAGGAUGCCUAGGCACCAGGAGCCGAAGAAGGACGUGGCGAACAACGAUAACGCCUCGGGGAGCCGUAAGCAGGCAUUGAUCCGGGGAUGUCCGAAUGGGGGAACCCGCGUGAGGUAAUACUCACGUACCAUGCAGUGAAUACAUAGCUGCAUAGGAGGCAUACGAGGGGAACUGAAACAUCUAAGUACCCUCAGGAAAAGAAAACAAAAGUGAUUCCGUCAGUAGCGGCGAGCGAAAGCGGAUUAGCCCAAACCAAGGAGCUUGCUCCUUGGGGUUGUAGGACGCCGUCGUGGGUGCAGCAGGUUAGGCGAACAGGUCUGGAAAGGCCGGCCAUAGAGGGUAAAAGCCCCGUAACCAAAAGUCUGCGAACACCCUAGGCGUAUCCUGAGUAGGGCGGGACACGUGAAACCCCGUCUGAAUCCGGCAGGACCAUCUGCCAAGGCUAAAUACUCCCUGGUGACCGAUAGUGAAGCAGUACCGUGAGGGAAAGGUGAAAAGAACCGCGGGAGCGGAGUGAAAAAGAACCUGAAACCGUGUGCUUACAAGAAGUCAGAGCCCGUUCAUGGGUGAUGGCGUGCCUUUUGUAGAAUGAACCGGCGAGUUACGUUUGCAAGCAAGGUUAAGGUGAGAAGCCGUAGCCGCAGCGAAAGCGAGUCUGAAUAGGGCGAAAUAGUUUGUAGGCGUAGACCCG
rnacentral:rRNA from 1 species